AAACCAGCACCUCAAGUGGUCAGGAUGAUUAUUGGGCCUAAAGCAUCCGUAGCCUGCUUUGCCAGUUUUCGGUUAAAUCUGUACGCUCAACGUACAGGCUGCCGGGAAUACUGCAGAGCUAGGGAGUGGGAGAGGUAGACGGUACUCGGGAGGAAGUGGUAAAAUGCUUUGAUCUCUCGAUGACCACCUGUGGCGAAGGCGGUCUACCAGAACACGUCCGACGGUGAGGGAUGAAAGCUGGGGGAGCAAACCGGAUUAGAUACCCGAGUAGUCC
rnacentral:rRNA from 1 species